GAUGAACGCUGGCGGCGUGCUUAACACAUGCAAGUCGAACGAGAAGUGGAGACGGAAACCUUCGGGCGGAAGACUUUACUUCGAGUGGCGGACGGGUGAGUAACGCGUGGGUAACCUGCCUCAUACAGGGGGAUAACAGUUGGAAACGACUGUUAAUACCGCAUAAGACCACAGCACCGCAUGGUGCGGGGGUAAAAACUCCGGUGGUAUGAGAUGGACCCGCGUUCGAUUAGCCAGUUGGCGGGGUAACGGCCCACCAAAGCGACGAUCGAUAGCCGAUCUGAGAGGAUGACCGGCCACAUUGGGACUGAGACACGGCCCAAACUCCUACGGGAGGCAGCAGUGGGGAAUAUUGCACAAUGGGGGAAACUCUGAUGCAGCGACGCCGCGUGAGUGAAGAAGUAUUUCGGUAUGUAAAGCUCUAUCAGCAGGGAAGAAAAUGACAGUACCUGAGUAAGAAGCCCCGGCUAACUACGUG
rnacentral:rRNA from 1 species